GAGUUUGAUCAUGGCUCAGGAUGAACGCUAGCGGCAGGCUUAGCACAGUGCAAGUCGAGGGGUAGAAGUCUUCGGACUUUGAGACCGGCGCACGGGUGCGUAACGCGUAUGCAAUCUACCUUUUACAAAGGGAUAGCCCAGAGAAAUUUGGAUUAAUACCUUAUAGUAUUAAGUUUUGGCAUCAAGAUUUAAUUAAAGAUUUAUCGGUAAAAGAUGAGCAUGCGUCCCAUUAGUUAGUUGGUAAGGUAACGGCUUACCAAGACUUCGAUGGGUAGGGGUCCUGAGAGGGAGAUCCCCCACACUGGUACUGAGACACGGACCAGACUCCUACGGGAGGCAGCAGUGAGGAAUCAUUGGUCCAAUGGACGCAAGUCUGAACCAGCCAUGCCGCGUGCAGGAUGACGGUCCUAUGGAUUGUAAACUGCUUUGAUACGGGAAGAAACCCUGGCUCGUGAGCCAGACUGACGGUACCGUAAGAAUCACGGAUCGGCUACCUCCGGUGCCAGCAAGCACCGCGGCUACUCACGGAGGAUCCACGCGUUCAU
rnacentral:rRNA from 1 species